GACGAACCGUGCGAACGUUAUUCGGAAUCACUGGGCUUAAAGCGCGUGUAGGCGGAUGGGAACGUCGGUAGUUGAAAGCCCCCGGCUCAACCGGGGAAGUGGUGCCGAAACGACCCGUCUGGAGGGACGUAGGGGGACCUGGAACUUCCGGUGGAGCGGUGAAAUGCGUUGAGAUCGGAAGGAACGCCCGUGGCGAAAGCGAGGUCCUGGACGUCUACUGACGCUGAGACGCGAAAAGCUAGGGGGAGCAAAACGGGG
rnacentral:rRNA from 1 species